rnacentral:rRNA from 1 species
CCUACGGGGGGCAGCAGUGGGGAAUAUUGCGCAAUGGGCGAAAGCCUGACGCAGCGACGCCGCGUGAGGGAUGAAGGUCUUCGGAUCGUAAACCUCUGUCAGCAGGGAAGAACGGUCACUGUGCUAAUCAGCAGUGAAUUGACGGUACCUGCAAAGGAAGCACCGGCUAACUCCGUGCCAGCAGCCGCGGUAAUACGGGGGAUGCAAGCGUUAUCCGGAUUUACUGGGUUUAAAGGGUGCGUAGGCUGUGAGGUAAGUCAGCGGUGAAAUGCCCCCGCUCAACGGGGUGAAGUGCCAUUGAUACUGGCUAGCUGGAGUGCGGAUGCGGUGAGAGGAAUGUGUGGUGUAGCGGUGAAAUGCAUAGAUAUCAGACAGAACAUCGGUUGCGAAGGCGACUAACGGAUACGCGAUUGACGUUGAGGCUCGAAAGCGUGGGGAGCAAACAGGAUUAGAUACCCCAGUAGUC